GUCUACAGCUAAGUUACCCUGAAUGUAUCCACACCCGUUUGACCUCAGAAGCUAAGCAGAGUCAAGCCUGGCUAGUACUUGGGUAGAUGAAAUAAUCUCACAGCGUAGUGGCGU
rnacentral:rRNA from 1 species